AUUGAACGCUGGCGGCGUGCUUUACACAUGCAAGUCGAACGGCAGCAUGGAAGCUUUCGGGCUUUUGAUGGCGAGUGGCGGACGGGUGAGUAAUGCAUCGGGACAUGCCUUUUGUUGGGGGAUAACUGAUCGAAAGAUUGGCUAAUACCGCAUGAUACUCUGAGGAGGAAAGCUGGGGACCUUUGGGCCUGGCGACAAGAGAUUGACCGAUGUCCGAUUAGCUAGUUGGUGGGGUGAAUGCUUACCAAGGCGAUGAUCGGUAGCUGUUCUGAGAGGAAGAUCAGCCACACUGGGACUGAGACACGGCCCAGACUCCUACGGGAGGCAGCAGUGGGGAAUUUUGGACAAUGGGGGGAACCCUGAUCCAGCAACGCCGCGUGAAUGAAGAAGGCCUUCGGGUUCGUAAAGUUCUUUUGUCCGGGGUCAAAGGUGUAUGGUUAAUAGCCGUAUAAGAUGAGAGUACCGGAAGUAUAAGCACCGGCUAACUACGUGCCAGCAGCCGCGGUUAAUACGUAGGGUGCGAGCGUUAAUCGGAUAUUACUGGGCUGUAAAGGGUGCGUAGGCGGAUAUAUAAGUUAGAUUUGUAAUUCCAUGGCUUAACCGUGGGACUGGAUUUAAUACUGUAUAUCUAGAGUUUGUAAGAGGGGGGUAGUAAUUCCAACUGUAGCAGUGAAAUGCGUAGAGAUUUGGAGGAAUACCGAUGGCGAAGGCAGCCCCCUGGUAUAGAACUGACGCUGAGGCACGANAAGCGUGGGUAGCAAACAGGAUUAGAUACCCUGGUAGUCCACGCCCUAAACGAUGUUACUUGCUGUUGGGGGUAACCUUAGUAGCGAAGCUAAUCGCGAGAAGUAAACCGCCUGGGGAGUACGGUCGCAAGAUUAAACUCAAAGGAAUCUGACGGGGACCCGCAUCACACGCGGUGGAUGUAUGUGGAUUAAUUCGAUGCAACGCGAAGAACCUUACACUGCUCUUGACAUGCGUAGGAAUCCUGCAGAGAUGUGGGAGUGCCGCAAGGAACUCUAGCACACAGGUGCUGCAUCGGCUGUCGUCAGCUCGUGUCGUGAGAUGUUGUCUUAAGUGACGCAACGAGCGCAACCCUUGCUACUAGUUGCCCUAAUUAAGUUUGGAACUCUAGUAGGACUGCCGGAGAGCUAAUCCGGAGGAAGGUGGGGAGACGUCAAGUCCUCACGUGCCCUUAUGAGCAGGGCUUCACACGUCAUACAAUGGUAGGUACAGAGGGAAGCGAAGUCGCGAGAUGGAGCAAAUCCUAUAAAGCCUAUCGUAGUCCGGAUUGCACUCUGCAACUCGAGUGCAUGAAGUUGGAAUCGCUAGUAAUCGCAGAUCAGCAUGCUGCGGUGAAUACGUUCCCAGGGUCUUGUACAACACNCGCACCGUGCACACCAUGGAGAGUGGAGGAUACCACAAGUAGUUAGGCUAAC
rnacentral:rRNA from 1 species